CAGUCGCCACGGUAAUACGUAGGGUGCGAGCGUUAAUCGGAAUUACUGGGCGUAAAGCGUGCGCAGGCGGUUCGUUAAGACAGAUGUGAAAUCCCCGGGCUUAACCUGGGAACUGCAUUUGUGACUGGCGAGCUAGAGUAUGGCAGAGGGGGGUAGAAUUCCACGUGUAGCAGUGAAAUGCGUAGAGAUGUGGAGGAAUACCGAUGGCGAAGGCAGCCCCCUGGGCCAAUACUGACGCUCAUGCACGAAAGCGUGGGGAGCAAACAGGAUUAGAUACCCGAGUAGUCCCUGUCUCUUAUAC
rnacentral:rRNA from 1 species